GCCCCAAACAUCGCAUCAUCAUCCAUGUCACAACCAUAUCCAUAUGUCUCACAACUUUUCAUCCUAGGCUCCAAUUUAUCCCGUCCCCGCACAUUAGACACCUCAACACAUUGAUCCCUAUAAAAUUCAUUCAAUUUCGAAUCCAUCCUAUUUAUUGUAUCUCUGUAUCUCCAAGUAAUUUCUCAAACAUCCGCACCAUCCUUUCAGACAUUGAUUUUGUUUUCAAUUGGGUUGUGUGAAAAUUGUG
rnacentral:lncRNA from 1 species